rnacentral:rRNA from 1 species
GCUUCCCUCUUUCUUCGUGCUUAACACAUGCAAGUCGAACGAGAAAUGUAGACGGAAACCUUCGGGCGGAAGCCUUCAUUUCGAGUGGCGGACGGGUGAGUAACGCGUGGGUAACCUGCCUCAUACAGGGGGAUAACAGUUGGAAACGACUGUUAAUACCGCAUAAGACCACAGCAUCGCAUGAUGCGGGGGUAAAAACUCCGGUGGUAUGAGAUGGACCCGCGUUCGAUUAGCCAGUUGGCGGGGUAACGGCCCACCAAAGCGACGAUCGAUAGCCGAUCUGAGAGGAUGACCGGCCACAUUGGGACUGAGACACGGCCCAAACUCCUACGGGAGGCAGCAGUGGGGAAUAUUGCGCAAUGGGGGAAACCCUGAUGCAGCGACGCCGCGUGAGUGAAGAAGUACUUCGGUAUGUAAAGCUCUAUCAGCAGGGAAGAAAAUGACGGUACCUGAGUAAGAAGCCCCGGCUAACUACGUG